rnacentral:rRNA from 1 species
CUGAUAAAGGAAUCUUUUGCCCGUCCUAAAAGCACGGGCGAAUAAGGGGUGGGCAAGUCUGGUGUCAGCCGCCGCGGUAAUACCAGCACCUCGAGUGGUCAGGACGAUUAUUGGGCCUAAAGCAUCCGUAGCUGGUUUUGCAAGUCUCCGGUUAAAUCCACCUGCUUAACAGAUGGGCCGCUGGAGAUACUACAAGACUAGGGAGUGGGAGAGGCAGACGGUAUUCGGGGGGUAGGGGUAAAAUCCUCUGAUCCUUUGAGGACCACCAGUGGCGAAGGCGGUCUGCCAGAACACGUUCGACAGUGAGGGAUGAAAGCUGGGGGAGCAAACCGGAUUAGAUACCCGGGUAGUCCCAGCUGUAAACGAUGCAGACUCGGUGAUGCAUUGGCUUCUUGCCAAUGCAGUGCCGCAGGGAAGCCGUUAAGUCUGCCGCCUGGGAAGUACGGUCGCAAGAUUGAAACUUAAAGGAAUUGGCGGGGGAGCACCACAAGGGGUGAAGCCUGCGGUUCAAUUGGAGUCAACGCCAGGAAUCUUACCCGGGGAGACAGCAGAAUGAAGGUCAAGCUGAAGACUUUACCAGACAAGCUGAGAGGAAGUGCAUGGCC